rnacentral:rRNA from 1 species
AUUGAACGCUAGCGGCAGGCCUAACACAUGCAAGUCGAGCGAGCGGCGGACGGGUGAGUAAUGUAUGGGGACUGCCCGAUAGAGGGGGAUCACUGAUGGAAACGGUAGCUAAUAACGCAUACUAUGGGAUAACCCAUAUGGGAUUGGCUGGUAGGUGAGGUCAUGUCUCACAUAGGCGGCGAUCCCUAGCUGGGCUGAGGGGAUGCUCAGCCCCACUGGGACGGAUACACGGCCCAGACGCCUACGGAGGCAGCAGUGGGUAAUAUUGCACAAUGGGCGCAAGCCUGAUGCAGCCAUGCCGCGUGUAUGAAGAAGGCCCUAGGGUUGUAAAGUACUUUCAGUCGGGAGGCGUUACCGACACAAGAAGCACCGGCUAACUCCGUGCCAGCAGCCGCGGUAAUAC